rnacentral:lncRNA from 1 species
UUUUGGGAAUUGUCACCUAAUUAAAUAACCCGUCUUAUCACCUUAAAUGUGGAUGAAAAGAGUCUCUUCUCAUUCCUAUGGUUAGAAAGUAAAAUUCAAUGCUCUACCUGAAUUUUGUUUAUCUUUAAAUUUUUUUUUUUUUUGGAACGGUCAAAUUCUAUGAUUCAUAGAACAGGGCCAGCAUAUGCUGUAAAAACCCAACAGUACAGUACAAAACAAAUCAACGCAAAACAAAACGAAACUAAAUACAAAACAAAAUACACCCAACUUCUACGCCACUAUUUCACUAUAUAGUAAACUGCAAUUUGGUACCCUGCAAUUUGGUUUGCAGAAUUAUAAAGAGUAAACUGCAAUUUGGUUCCCUGUAGUUUUCCGACUCUUGCACUUUGCCCCCUAUUUUCCGUUUUCUGCACUUUGGCUCCCUGUGCCUGCAUUUCAUUACACUAUGCCUUCCGCCAUUAGUGGACCGUUAGUUGACUGUCUUGUUUAGGGGAAAAACAGUAAUCUUACCACCCAAACCCGCAAACCCUUUUUUUUGUGGCAGUAUACGCCCCAGUGGUUUUCUUAUUACUUCAACUACUCACCACCCACCACCACCGUCAUCAUCCCCAUCACCUCCACCACCAUCACCAUCUUGGCCCCUGCGGAAAUUAUAGAUGUUGGCGAAUCUCUCACAUUGUGUUUGGGAAUUAAACUCACUUCUUGUUGAAAACUACAAAUAUUAAAUGUGUAUUUUGUGUUUAUUAUUAGAAAAGAAAAA